rnacentral:rRNA from 1 species
GGGUGGUAAAUUUCAUCUAAAGCUAAAUACUGGUCGGAGACCGAUAGCGCACAAGUAGAGUGAUCGAAAGAUGAAAAGCACUUUGAAAAGAGAGUUAAACAGCAUGUGAAAUUGUUGAAAGGGAAGCGCUUGCGACCAGAGUCGGCCGCGGGGGCUCAGCGGGCACUCGUUGCCCGUGCACUCCCCCGUGGUCGGGCCAGCGUCGGUUUCGACGGCCGGUCAAAGGCCCCCGGAAUGUGUCGCCUCUCGGGGCGUCUUAUAGCCGGGGGUGCAAUGCGGCCAGUCGGGACCGAGGAACGCGCUCCGGCACGGACGCUGGCUUAAUGGUCGUAAGCGACCCGUCUUGAAACACGGAC